rnacentral:tRNA from 1 species
AGAACCAUCUUAGAAAAGCUUCUAACUUUUUAUAAAGCAUUAACAUGUUUAUGAUUCUA